UAUCCCUCGCUGCUAAGCUAUCCCUCACUGCUAAGCUAUCGCCGCUGCCAACCUAUCUAUUGCUGCAAGCUAUCCCUCGCUGCUAAGCUAUCCCUCACUGCUAAGCUAUCUCUCGCUGCUAAGCUAUCCCUCGCUGCUAAGCUAUCCCUCGCUGCUAAGCUAUCCCUCGCUGGCUAUCCCUCACUGCUAAGCUAUCCCUCACUACUAAGCUAUCUAUCGCUGCUAAUCUAUCGCUGCCAACCUAUCUAUCGCUGCCAAUUUAUUGCUGCUAAUCUAUCACUGCUAAUCUAUCGCUGCUAAUCUAUCGCUGCUAAUCUAUCGCUUCUAAUCUAUCGCUGCUAAUCUAUCGCUGCCAACCUAUCUACCGCGGCGAAUAUAUCUAUUGCUGCCAACCAACCUACCACUGCCAAUCUAUCUAUCGCUGCCAAUCUAUCGCUGCCAACCUAUCUACUGCAGUGAAUCUAUCUAUCACUAUCAUUACUAGUUCAAAAUAGAACUAGAGCAUAAAUACACUAAACUUCUUUUGAUAGAUAAUGAUUUUUGGUAACACUCAUAGCAUUAUAUCAUCUAUAUAGGGUAAAUCAUGGUUCCAUUUGGUCCCAUUUUAACAAAAUGGGACCAAAUGGGACCAGAAUCAGUAAUUUAUAAGAAGAACAUGACCUGGGACUAGAUUUAUAAUAUAAACAG
rnacentral:sRNA from 1 species